GAUGAAGAACGUAGUGAAAUGCGAUAAGUAAUGUGAAUUGCAGAAUUCAGUGAAUCAUCGAAUCUUUGAACGCACAUUGCGCCCGCCAGUAUUCUGGCGGGCAUGCCUGUCUGAGCGUCAUUUCAACCCUCAUGCCCCUAGGGCGUGGUGUUGGGGAUCGGCCAAAGCCCGCGAGGGACGGCCGGCCCCUAAAUCUAGUGGCGGACCCGUCGUGGCCUCCUCUGCGAAGUAGUGAUAUUCCGCAUCGGAGAGCGAUGAGCCCCUGCCGUUAAACCCCCAACUUUCCAAGGUUGACCUCAGAUCAGGUAGGAAUACCCGCUGAACUUAAGCAUAUCAAUAAGCGAGGA
rnacentral:misc_RNA from 1 species